GGAUACAGGUGGUGCAUGGUCGUCGUCAGCUCGUGUCGUGAGAUGUUGGGUUAAGUCCCGCAACGAGCGCAACCCUUGUUAUUAGUUGCCAGCAUUUAGUUGGGCAUUCUAAUGAGACUGCCGGUGAUAAACCGGAGGCAGGUGGGGACGACGGCAGAUCAUCAUGCCCCUKAUGACCUGGGCAACACACGUGCUACAAUGGGAAGUACAACGAGUCGCAAACCGGCGACGGUAAGCUAAUCUCUUAAAACUUCUCUCAGUUCGGACUGGAGUCUGCAACUCGACUCCACGAAGGCGGAAUCGCUAGUAAUCGCGAAUCAGCAUGUCGCGGUGAAUACGUUCCCGGGUCUUGUACACACCGCCCGUCAAAUCAUGGGAGUCGGAAGUACCCAAAGUCGCUUGGCUAACUUUUAGAGGCCGGUGCCUAAGGUAAAAUCGAUGACUGGGAUUAAGUCGUAACAAGGUAGCCGUAGGAGAACCUGCGGCUGGAUCACCUCCUUUCUAAGGA
rnacentral:rRNA from 1 species